rnacentral:lncRNA from 1 species
CUGGAGCGGCCCUCAACUCACUCUACAGCUUCGCCACUGUCUGCAGCCCAGCAGCUCCAUCAUGGUGGGUCCUACGAGAAAACUAUUUGUAAUUUAUAGGCAGAUGUGAGAGUAGAUAGGAAUGAAAUUGAGGACAGAACAUACUCAGUGUGAGUCUGUAGAAUCUACUUUUGGUUUUUAUCCAGGUGUGUUGAGGAUAGACAAGAUUAAUUCAAGCUACUAUGCCAACUACAGAAAUACAUCUUACUUGCAAAAGAAGUACUUUAUGCUUCACCAACUUUCUAUAUCUCAUAAGGUUUAUUAUAUCUAAAUUUAGGGGGGAAAAACCUGCAAUUAUAGCAAAAUAUUGCACCUUAAGAAAACAAUCCAAUGAUGCUGAUAAAUAAAAUUAAAUGCAUUGGGUAAAACAUACUGGUUAAAUAGAAGAACGACUUAAAGUGAUCUUU